GACGAACGCUGGCGGCGUGCUUAACACAUGCAAGUCGAACGGAAAGCCCCUUUCGGGGGGACUCGAGUGGCGAACGGGUGAGUAACACGUGGGUGAUCUGCCCUGCACUUUGGGAUAAGCCUGGGAAACUGGGUCUAAUACCGGAUAGGACUACGCGAUGCAUGUCGUGGGGUGGAAAGCUUUUGCGGUGUGGGAUGGGCCAGCGGCCUAUCAGCUUGUUGGUGGGGUGAUGGCCUACCAAGGCGACGACGGGUAGCCGGUCUGAGAGGACGAUCAGCCACACUGGGACUGAGACACGGCCCAGACUCCUACGGGAGGCAGCAGUGGGGAAUAUUGGACAAUGGGGGCAACCCUGAUCCAGCCAUGCCGCGUGAGUGAUGAAGGCCUUCGGGUUGUAAAGCUCUUUUGGCGGGGACGAUGAUGACGGUACCCGCAGAAUAAGCCCCGGCUAACUUCGUGCCAGCAGCCGCGGUAA
rnacentral:rRNA from 1 species